CACGUAGGGGGCGAGCGUUGUCCGGAUUUAUUGGGCGUAAAGAGCUCGUAGGCGGCUUAGUAAGUCAGGUGUGAAACCUCCAGGCUCAACCUGGAGACGCCACCUGAUACUGCUGUGGCUAGAGUCCGGUAGGGGAGCAGGGAACUCCUGGUGUAGCGGUGAAAUGCGCAGAUAUCAGGAAGAACACCAGCGGCGAAGGCGCUGCUCUGGGCCGGAACUGACGCUGAGGAGCGAAAGCGUGGGGAGCAAACAGG
rnacentral:rRNA from 1 species